AUUGAACGCUGGCGGCAUGCUUUACACAUGCAAGUCGAACGGCAGCGCGGGCUUCGGCCUGGCGGCGAGUGGCGAACGGGUGAGUAAUGCAUCGGAACGUGCCCAGUAGUGGGGGAUAGCCCGGCGAAAGCCGGAUUAAUACCGCAUACGACCUGAGGGUGAAAGCGGGGGACCGAAAGGCCUCGCGCUAUUGGAGCGGCCGAUGUCGGAUUAGCUAGUUGGUGGGGUAAAGGCUUACCAAGGCGACGAUCCGUAGCUGGUCUGAGAGGACGACCAGCCACAUUGGGACUGAGCCACGGCCCAGACUCCUACGGGAGGCAGCAGUGGGGAAUGUUGGACAAUGGGGGCAACCCUGAUCCAGCCAUGCCGCGUGCGGGAAGAAGGCCUUCGGGUUGUAAACCGCUUUUGUUCGGGAAGAAAUCCUCUGGGCUAAUACCCCGGGGGGAUGACGGUACCGGAAGAAUAAGCACCGGCUAACUACGUG
rnacentral:rRNA from 1 species